rnacentral:lncRNA from 1 species
GAAACAGGGGCCUCCUGACUCCCUGUCCAGUGCUACCUACCCAGCUGCCUCCACUGCUGGAGAGGGGCUGGGUCCAAACAUAUUGGUCAAGUCCUCCUUCUAGAAUCCCCUUUCUCUAGCCCCUCCUUCCUACUCCCAGCUGGAGCCCAGGACCCUCCCUCCCCUGAGGCGGUUUCUAUCAGAUGAAAAUCCCUAAGCCCCUUCCUAGGGACGCUGGGUGUGGGGGGAGCAGAUAACCAGUUCUCUGGGUCUUUCUCACCCAAGUUCCUACAUGUCCUUCCCAGAUGAUGAACCCACCUGCGGUGGUCAUCUCUGGUGGUGAAAUCCCAAGCACAGGCAGGCUGGGAGGAAGGCAGGGAGCAGAGGGUUUGGGGCUGGGCCCCGUCUUCUCUGGCUGCCCCUGAUUGUGCCCAAGGCUACCUGUUCCACCCCUCUGCCUCCCAGGAGCACCGUGUUCCUUCUGUGCUGCACACAGUGUCUUUUGUGAACCCUCUGGCUGGGACUUUCAGUGACAGCUCUUCUAAGGAGCUGGUUAGCAUUUUCUCCAGACCCAGCCAGAAAUUCUGGAAGGUAAUGGGCAGGCUGAGCCUGCAGAGAGUGAUAAAAGGGAAUGAUUAGUCUUGGGCUCCUAAAAGGACAGCAUCCGCAUCUUCAGUUCUCUCCCACCUUCCCUGUCGGGGAACCUGUGCUCAUGACCUUCAGAGGCAUCAAUUCUCCCUCUGUCUCUUCUUCCUUACCUGGGGCCUCAUUCUUUUGCCUUUGGCUGUCUGCCAGCUGAUGCCCACCUGCUGCCUGCUGGCCACAGUAAGGUCAGGUAGGACCUCCCAGGGUCAGUGAUGCCUGAAGGGAGCAGUCAUGGUGGGAAGACGGCAGUGGGAUUGAUACCUCAAGGCACACAAUUGUCUUUACCUGAACUCGGGAUGUGAAAACCUCUGUUUGGUGGGAGAGUCAUAGAGGAUUCGAUGUUGAGAAAGCAACAGAGAUGUGAUGCCAUAAACAAUAUCCUAGACAAGACCAUUUCCAAGAUUUUGAAUGGCAAGAGGUACCCCCAAGGCAAAUUCUCCCCAACAGGUUGUAAGAGGAAAAUGGCAGGAUAUUUUCAAUGGGAGCAAAUAUUAUUUGCUCACCGUUCAGUUCCCAGAACCCACAGCCUUGCUAAUUCCACUAAAGUGGAACCCAGUUCUCCAACCACUGAGCAGCAUUUCAGAUGUUUAAUGGGGCUCUUGGUUGCCACACUGAGCCAGCUAAUGAAAAAGCUCAAUCAUCACUCCCAGGCUCCGAGUCCUCUCCCCUUCAGGUGCUCCCCUUGCCCCAGUGCACUUGCUGGGUAAGCGUGGCACUUGGCCUCCACCCAGUGCCUGGUGGGGCCGAUGGGAAGUUUAGCUGAAGCUGGCUCUGUCUAUUGGGCUUCAACCUCCUAUCAGAAAUCGGGUUGGCAGAAAAAAAAUUCCACUCAAAAUGAGUCUUGAAAAAAAGCCACAUCCAUUUCUCUAUAGGCUGGACUGUCUCUGCAGGGAAGGGGUGCUUGUUGCGGAACUUAACCCUGGGGCUCCUGGUAACAGGGCUGGUGAUGUUUUCCUUUUGAGUCAGUUCCAGAAAGUGACUAUGACAAACAGGGGCCUGGGAAAAUUGAAAACCCUGCUCAGAAUUGGCAAUGAGAAAACCAAGAGGAUCAAGCAGCAAGCAGGCGGGAGGCUGGCUGCUCCCCACCCCCAGCCCUGCUCCUGCCCAGAUAGCUGCAGAGACCAUAAGAGUGGUUGGUCUUUACUCAGUGGUCCCUUGGUCUUCCAGGUGUGGCAGCAGUCCUGACCUCUACCAAGGUCCUCUGGGGGCACAUUUUAAUUAUCUUGUGGGAGGAUGCUCAAGUUGAGAUUACCAGGUAGGAUGGAGGUGGAACAUCUUGCAUGACACCAGCCAGAAACUGCCUGCAUGAUUAGACAAUAGAAAAUAUGCCCUCUAGUCCUCAGAUCAUAUGGGUUCUUGAAGCAGCACUGUGUGUCCCAUGUGCUUUGCCAUUGCUCCUUCAUAUACCCCCUUGCGACACUACCACAUCUAAUUAGCUCUGUGGCUGGGGGCAACAAGGUACAGUCACUGCUCUCAAGGUACUCAAAGUCCAGUGGAAGAGAUGGGUAAUUAAACAAGCAAUGGACUGUAGCAUCACAGCAGGGUGAGAGCCUCCAUCAAACAGAGAGCUUAUUCUCAGGGUAACUCCUGUCCCCUCAGUUCCAACUCCUCACCCCUCCCUGUCCUUGCCCUGGAGUAUCUUCUCCAUUCAAUCUGGGUCUCAAACCUAAUUCUUUUCCAUGCAACUCCAGUAGCUGUUUACAGUACCCAGAUUCCAGACUGCAGAUGGGUGCUGGUCCAUGAGGUUUUUCCAGUCUAGGGUGACGUGAGAACAGAAGGCAAAGUAGCAACUCUUUAAGAUGCUACGGGUAUUCAGUUUAAAAAACUUCCCCUUGUUCUAAGAGUCUGUUCUGUCUGUGUGUUGGGAUGUUAAAACAUUCUUUCUUUUGUUAAAUGGUGGUGUUUGUAGAUUGUACAUUUCUGUUGAGUUUAAUUUUAGUAUUUUGACAGGGCAGAAGAAAACAGUGACAGCUCAAAGUCUGGGAAGCAGUGCUCAACAAGCAGCUCAUCACUGAAAUUAGCACCCACAUCCAAACCCAAGCAGGAGCCCCUAGCGUGUCUUAGUAUCUGAUUUUCCAGUCUAUUGCAGAGUGGCAGAGCUGCCAUAUUCAAAUUCCACUCACUUCCCCAAGACACUUAGCUGCCUGUGCCAGCCAAGUCCUUAAAUAGAAACUACUGUUUUCUUGGCGUCCCAGGCUCCUGUAUGUUUAAUGCCUUGAGUGUCCAAUUUCUGGGCCAAACUCAUGAAAAUCUAAAGGGGAAUUAUCUGUCUCAGAAAGCAGCUGCAAUGGAAAUAAAAGCCAUGAGUACUUGGUGUUAUCAGAAUGUUUAAUUUUUCAUUGAAAUUUCAAGAUAAAAGUCGAUCUUGAGAAUUGUGUUAACUGAGAUCUCCAGCUCCCACUGAAAUGCAGCACAGAGACUGCUGGAAAAGACACCAGUACCCCAGCUUGUGGGAGCCUUUUGGGGACCCCAUGUCUACCUUCUUAGACAGGGAACUUUGUGGUCCAAGCAUCUGCUCUGGUUAAAUCAAGUCCCAUAUUACAUCUGGUUACACUGCCAUUCUAGGUAUAAUCCAAGGCAUUGAAUGUCCCCCAUGAAGCUGGAUGGAGAGAAGAAAAUAUCCACCAGGCAAACCAAAUCCCAAUGAUACAAGUGGUAAAGUCCAAAUUCUUGGGCUGCAGUCGAAUGUUUCUGAGGUUGUUUAAAAUGAAUGUUUAGGAGUUCCCGUCGUGGCGCAGUGGUUAACGAAUCCGACUAGGAACCAUGAGGUUGCGGGUUCGGUCCCUGCCCUUGCUCAGUGGGUUAACGAUCCGGUGUUGUCAUGAGCUGUGGUGUAGGUUGCAGACGCGGCUCAGAUCCCGCAUUGCUGUGGCUCUGGCAUAGGCCAGUGGCUACAGCUCCGAUUCAACCCCUAGCCUGGGAACCUCCAUAUGCCGUGGGAGCGGCCCAAGAAAUAGCAACAACAACAAAAAGACCAAAAAAAAAAAAAAAAUUUAAAAUGAAUGUUUAAAAGUUGUUUAAAAUGAAUGAGUCAUUCUAGGUUCAGCCACUUGGUUGUAAGGAGUGUUUUGUUUUACCCACUUGGCAAUGUUGGCUUUGCUCUGUGAUGCUGAUUGCAAAGGAGACCCUCAUGUUUGGACUGAGUACAUCUUGAGGUCAAGGAUAUUCCUCAUGUGUGAGGUUGGUGGACACUCUUCUCCUUCUGCCCAUCUCUCCCCUGGGACCCAACAUAGCUCUUGGCACAAAAGAGGCCCAGAAAUUGUGGGUGGUGACAAUGACCAUGCAAAUAACAUCUAAAACAUACUGUGUUUUAGACAGAAUCAGUUUCUGGCAAUUUCUACUUGAUCUAAUAUGACCACUUAAUCAUUAAUGUUUUUUGUUUUUAUUUUUAUGGCUGCACCCAUGGCAUGUGGAAGUUCUCUGGGCAGGGACCGAAUCCACAGCUGCAGCAAAGCCAGAUCCUUAACCCAUUGUGCCAGGCCAGGGACAGAACCCAUGCCUCCACAGAGACCCAAGCCACUGCAGUCAGAUUCCUAACCCACUGUACCACAGCAGGAACUCCUUUAACGUUUUUAACUUGCCUAUUUGAUUUUUUAAAAGCUCUAUUGAAGUAUAGUGGAUUUACAAUGUUGUGCCUAUUCAAUCAUCAAAAGAAAAUUCUUUCUUUGACUUGAUCAUUGAGUUCGGUGUGUAACCCUAAGGAAAGGAAGGAGUGGGAGUCUGAAGCCAGUGGGCAGCAAGGGCCUCCGGGUGAGCAGUCUGUGUUCUGAGUCUUGGUCUCCUAGUUCCCUGGAACCUCCCUUUCCGGCUUAUUCAGGGGAUGAGCCAAAGUGAAGAGCAACAGUCUUGGUCCAUUUGAACUUGUGCAGCUCUGUUUGGUUUGCCUGGGCCAUUAAGCCAACAGUCUUUCCUUCCCGCUGAACCCAUGCCUCUUGUGGCAGGCAGCCUUCUGGCUGGUCAGCCUUGAGUUCUGGCAAGAACCCUUGUAGCAGGCUCUAGGGGAUGUUUUUCAUCAUGGAUUUGCCGUCAACUGGUUGGUGAUGUAUCACCCUGGGCAAGUCUCUUUAUCUCUCUGGGUCAUGGUUUCCUUGUAUGUCAAACAUGUUGGAUUAGAUCAGAAUUUCUCAGUCUUGGCCCCACUGACAUGAUGGGUCAUAUGUUUUUGAUGUGAAGCUGUCCCAUGCAGGGGAAGAUGCUCGGCAGCAUUCUGGCCUCUGCCCUCGAGAUACCAGGAUCCCUCCUCCCCUCUUUUGUGACAAUAACAAUCUCCAGGCAUUUUCAAAUAUCUGCUGGGGAAGUUCCCUGGUGGUCUAGCAGUUAAGGACAUGGCAUUGUCAUUGCUGUGGCUUGGAUUUGGUCCCUGGUCCCAGAACUUCUGCAUGUAGUGGGUCAGCCAAAAAAAAAAAAAAAUAGUCGUUACCUUACCCUAUUCUCUUGCACUCCUACAAUAUGCUAGGCAAUGUAUUAGGUUUUACAGCCUAAAUUUAUUAUUAUUAAUGGCUGCACCUGCAGCAUAUGGAAAUUCCCAGGCUAGGGGGUCAAAUGGAGCUGCAGCUGCCGGCCUACACCACAGCCACAGCAAUGCCAGAUGUGAACCACGUCUAUGACCUACACCACAGCUCAAGGCAACAAUGGAUCCUUAAACCCACCAAUCAAGGCCAGGGAUCGAACCCACAUCUUCAUGGAUAUUUGAUGAAUUCUUAACCCGCUGAGUGACAAUGGGAACUCCCUAAAUAUUUUUUAUAUUGUAUUAAGAAUUCUAUUUUAUAGGUAUUCUAUUCUAUUUUAUUAGAUUAAGAUGGUGUCUACACAGGCAUUAAGGUAAAGAGUGAAAGAAUGAGAAUCCUCCUUUGUAUUCUUACUAGCUUCAUUCGUAAAACAGCAACUUCACCCAUUGUUGUCAGGACUUAAUUCUCAGUGCACAUAAAAUCACGAAGAUCAGGAGUUCCCGUCAUGGCGCAGUGGUUAACGAAUCCGACUAGGAACCAUGAGGUUGCGGGUUCGGUCCCUGCCCUUGCUCAGUGGGUUAAGGAUCCGGCGUUGCCGUGAGAUGUGGUGUAAGUUGCAGACGCAGCUAGCAUCCUGUGUUGCUGUGGCUCUAGCGUAGGCCUGUGGCUACAGCUCCAACUAGACCCCUAGCCUGGGAACCUCCAUAUGCCGUGGAAGCGGCCCAAAGAAAU